rnacentral:rRNA from 1 species
CCUACGGGAGGCAGCAGUGAGGAAUAUUGGUCAAUGGGCGGGAGCCUGAACCAGCCAAGUCGCGUGAGGGAUGACGGCCCUAUGGGUUGUAAACCUCUUUUGCCGGGGAGCAAAGUGCCGCACGUGUGCGGUUUGAAGAGUACCCGGAGAAAAAGCAUCGGCUAACUCCGUGCCAGCAGCCGCGGUAAUACGGAGGAUGCGAGCGUUAUCCGGAUUUAUUGGGUUUAAAGGGUGCGUAGGCGGUCGGAUAAGUUAGAGGUGAAAUCCCGAGGCUCAACUUCGGAAUUGCCUCUGAUACUGUUCGGCUAGAGAGUAGUUGCGGUAGGCGGAAUGUAUGGUGUAGCGGUGAAAUGCUUAGAGAUCAUACAGAACACCGAUUGCGAAGGCAGCUUACCAAGCUACUUCUGACGUUGAGGCACGAAAGCGUGGGGAGCAAACAGGAUUAGAUACCCGAGUAGUC